rnacentral:misc_RNA from 1 species
AAGUCGUAACAAGGUCUCCGUAGGUGAACCUGCGGAGGGAUCAUUACUGAAUGGCUUCGGCCUUCAACCUUCAAACCUGUGGAAGCAACCCGUGCUUCGGCGCUCCGGCGCCGCAUUUAUGCUGAUAAGCGUGUGCGUCUGAACAUACAUGAGAAUUAAAACUUUCAACAAAGGAUCUCUUGGCUCUC